rnacentral:rRNA from 1 species
UAGGGAAUCUUCGGCAAUGGGGGCAACCCUGACCGAGCAACGCCGCGUGAGUGAAGAAGGUUUUCGGAUCGUAAAGCUCUGUUGUAAGUCAAGAACGGGUGUGAGAGUGGAAAGUUCACACUGUGACGGUAGCUUACCAGAAAGGGACGGCUAACUACGUGCCAGCAGCCGCGGUAAUACGUAGGUCCCGAGCGUUGUCCGGAUUUAUUGGGCGUAAAGCGAGCGCAGGCGGUUUGAUAAGUCUGAAGUUAAAGGCUGUGGCUCAACCAUAGUUCGCUUUGGAAACUGUCAAACUUGAGUGCAGAAGGGGAGAGUGGAAUUCCAUGUGUAGCGGUGAAAUGCGUAGAUAUAUGGAGGAACACCGGUGGCGAAGGCGGCUGUCUGGUCUGCAACUGACGCUGAGGCUCGAAAGCAUGGGUAGCGAACAGGAUUAGAUACCCUGGUAGUCCAUGCCGUAAACGAUGAGUGCUAAGUGUUGGAGGGUUUCCGCCCUUCAGUGCUGCAGCUAACGCAUUAAGCACUCCGCCUGGGGAGUACGACCGCAAGGU